rnacentral:tRNA from 1 species
GGAGACGUGGGAGAGUGGCCUAAUCCAUUCCCUUGCUAAGGGAACGUGCCUCAAAAGGGCACCGUGAGUUCGAAUCUCACCGACUCCGCCA